rnacentral:tRNA from 1 species
GGUCCCGUGGUCAAGUGGUUAAGACACCGCCCUUUCACGGCGGCUACAGGAGUUCGAAUCUCCUCGGGAUCACCA